UGUAGCUGUAGGCAAUACCCCACAAAAUCCUUACUAGAAAAAAAGAAAGGAAAAGAGAAACCCCAAAACAAAUUGUAGAACGGAAAAGCCAGGACAUACUUACCAAUUCGUUUUGGGAAUGAAUAACUAAAUAUAUCAAUAACACAGGGCUUAAAAUACUUACCGGGGAUAAAUGCAUGCUCAGGAUCAAUGGUCUAAAAAUAUUGCAAGGGGGUUGACUGAUUACUUCAUUCAUCCUCCUGUCCACAUUCCACCCGAAAAAGUAAGAAGAGAUAAAACGGCUGAGGCCAAACACCGAUUCUAUAGAUACAUGACAUAAAACCCCCGUAGCAGAAAACACCCAACCAGAAAACAAAAUUCAAAGUCAACAAUCACCAACAUGAAGGCGUAACUAAAAAUAAUGGAAACAAAUAAGACAUGAACCUAAAAUGCAAGAUGCAAAGAGGCUGCAUCAAUUUUGAUAUCAAAAGCGACCGAAGCUGCCCAUGAUACGUUUUCAAAUAAAAUUCAGAAUGGACACAAAAAGUAUUUAUUCUUUACAUUCCAAAUCACCUUAAGCAACCAACAAAAUUACCGCGGCAAUCAUCAAUCCAUUCAAUCCCAUUGAUACGCUGGCUUUUGAGGAGGCGGCCGACGUCGUACUAGAGCUGGAUGAGGAGCUAGAAGUGUAAGAAGUGCUGCUUGAAGUAGAAGCAGUCUUUACAUCGUCAUCAGAACCAGAUGUGGCGGUAGUGUUGCUGACAGUUUGGAAACCAGAGCUCAAGUACGUAGAUGUGAAGGUGGUGGGAUCGAUAGUAGUAAGGUCACCGGUGGUAAUUGUUACGUUGCCAGUAAUGGUAGCGGUAACAUUCGAUACAAUGGUGGAGUUGCUACUGUUCCAGAUAGAAGUGGUGUUCAUACCUUGAGUAGUGUUGCUAUAACUAGGAUAUCCUGAGCCACCUGGACCUGGGGUAAAGCUAGUAGUAGGAGGAGCGCUAACACUGCUACUUGGGUUACCUGGGUUAACAGGGAUGAUGGUGGUAGUACCGCCGAUUAUGGUAGUAGUGAAGGAGAAGGUACUGGUGAAUGUGGUAGGCUCAGUGUAAGUAGCAGUACCCUCGGUCGUUUCAGUUCCGGUAGUAACGGUUGGUUCGUUGGUAGGAGCAGCUGUUGGGUUACCGCCGCCAGUUCCACUUGCAGUGGUGGGUUCAAUGGUAGAAGUUAUAAUCUCAGUAGUUUCAAAUGUCGAAGUUUCAGUAACUUCGGUAACACCAGUCGUGGUUCCAGUACCGGUGGAAGUAACGGAGCUUCCAGUACUAGUGGUAGGAACGACACUGCCCUGAGAGGAACUUCCAGUGGGACGAGUACCGGUUGCAGAACCAGAAGUAGAACCAAAGGUUUCAGUAGGGAUGAUGCUGCUAGUCAAAGUAGAGCUCAAUCUGCUAAAGGUAGAAGAUCCACUUGAAGGAUAAGCGCUAGAAUUGCUCAAAGGAGUGGAAACACUGCUAGUGGGUAAGCCGGAUGUAGUAUUGAAACCAGAGGAAGUGAAGGUGCUAGUAGGAGCAACGGUGGAGUUGCUCAAAGGAGUGGAAGCACUGCUAGUUGGCAAGCCGGAAGUAGUGUUGAAACCUGAUGAAGUGAAGGUGCUAGUGGGUACAAUACUAGAGUUACUUGAAGGAGUGGAAGCACUGCUAGUAGGCAAGCCGGAAGUAGUGUUGAAACCAGAGGAAGUGAAGGUGCUAGUAGGAGCAACGGUGGAGUUGCUCAAUGGAGUGGAAGCACUGCUAGUUGGCAAGCCGGAAGUAGUGUUGAAACCUGAUGAAGUGAAGGUGCUAGUGGGAGCAACGGUGGAGUUGCUCAAUGGAGUAGAGGUAGGAGUGGUGACACUUCCACUAACAUCCCCAUUUCCACUAUUCGUGUUGGUAAAUUCACCAGUUGAGCCAGAAGCAGAAGAGGUGAUGGUAGAGUUACCGAAGGGAGUGGAACUAGCAGAAGUGGCAGUGGUACUGUUGACACUGGUCAAAGGAGUAGAGCUAGCAGAGGUGGCAGUAGUGCUAUUGGCACUGCUCAAAGGAGUGGAGCUAACUGAGCUAGUAGGCAAAACUGAGCUGGUGUUGUAGCUGGGGGCAGUGGAACUAACAGAAGUGCUAGUGGUACUGUUGGCGCUGGUCAAAGGAGUGGAACUAGCAGAAGUGGCGGAGGUGCUAUUGACACUAGUCAAAGGAGUAGAACUAGCAGAAGUGGCAGUGGUACUGUUGACACUGGUCAAAGGAGUAGAGCUAGCAGAGGUGGCAGUAGUGCUGUUAACGCUGCUCAGAGGAGUAGAGCUAGCAGAGGUGGCAGUAGUGCUGUUAACGCUGCUCAGAGGAGUAGAGCUAGCAGAGGUGGCAGUAGUGCUAUUGGCACUGCUCAAAGGAGUGGAGCUAACUGAGCUAGUAGGCAAAACUGAGCUGGUGUUGUAGCUGGGGGCAGUGGAACUAACAGAAGUGCUAGUGGUACUGUUGGCGCUGGUCAAAGGAGUGGAACUAGCAGAAGUGGCGGAGGUGCUAUUGACACUAGUCAAAGGAGUAGAACUAGCAGAAGUGGCAGUGGUACUGUUGACACUGGUCAAAGGAGUAGAGCUAGCAGAGGUGGCAGUAGUGCUGUUAACGCUACUCAGAGGAGUAGAGCUAGUAGAGGUGGCAGUAGUGCUGUUGGCACUGCUCACGCUGCUCAAAGGGGUAGAGCUAGCAGAAGUGGUAGUGGUACUGUUGACACUGGUCAAAGGAGUGGAACUAGCAGAAGUGGCAGUAGUGCUGUUGGCGCUGCUCAAAGGAGUAGAGCUAGGAGUGCUACUAGGCAAAAGUGAACUGGUGUUGUACUGGGCGGAGCUGGAAGUUGCAGAAGCGCUAGUGGCCGCAGUAGUACUGUUCGACGAAGUCAAAGGAGUAGAGCUGGAGACGGUUGAACUUAUGCUUGAGCUAGUAGCGGUAGCAGAGGUAGUCGAGUUCAAAGAACUAGAAGCCAAACUGGAGCUAGUAGCAGAGUUGGAAGCAGCGGUCGAGGACAGGCUGGAGCUAGUAGCGGUAGCAGAGGUAGUCGAGUUCAAAGAACUAGAAGCCAAACUAGAGCUAGUAGCAGAGUUGGAAGCAGCGGUCGAGGACAGGCUGGAGCUAGUAGCAGAGCUAGUAGGGGUAGCGGAAGUAGUAGAGUUUGUAGAGCUAGAAGCCAAAGAGGAGCUAGUAGUAGAACUGGAAGCCAAAGAGGAGCUAGUAAUAGAACUAGAAGCCAAAGAGGAGCUAGUAAUAGAACUAGAAGCCAAAGAGGAGCUAGUAGUAGAACUAGAAGCCAAAGAAGAGCUAGUAGCAGAGCUAGAAGUCAAGGACGAGCUAGUUGGGGAAGCUGAAGUAGUAGAGUUUGUAGAGCUUGAAGCCAAAGAAGAACUAGAAGUCAAGGAGGAGCUAGC